GUGGGGAAUCUUAGACAAUGGGGGCAACCCUGAUCUAGCCAUGCCGCGUGAGUGAUGAAGGCCUUAGGGUCGUAAAGCUCUUUCGCCGGGGAAGAUAAUGACUGUACCCGGUAAAGAAACCCCGGCUAACUCCGUGCCAGCAGCCGCGGUAAUACGGAGGGGGUUAGCGUUGUUCGGAAUUACUGGGCGUAAAGCGCGCGUAGGCGGAUCGGAAAGUUGGGGGUGAAAUCCCGGGGCUCAACCCCGGAAUUGCCUUCAAAACUCCCGGUCUUGAGGUCGAGAGAGGUGAGUGGAAUUCCGAGUGUAGAGGUGAAAUUCGUAGAUAUUCGGAGGAACACCAGUGGCGAAGGCGGCUCACUGGCUCGAUACUGACGCUGAGGUGCGAAAGCGUGGGGAGCAAACAGGAUUAGAUACCCUUGUAGUCC
rnacentral:rRNA from 1 species